rnacentral:rRNA from 1 species
UCCAACCUGCCCACCACUUGGGGAUAACCUUGCGAAAGUAAGACUAAUACCCAAUGACGUCUCUAGAAGACAUCUGAAAGGGAUUAAAGAUUUAUCGGUGAUGGAUGGGGAUGCGUCUGAUUAGCUUGUUGGCGGGGUAACGGCCCACCAAGGCUACGAUCAGUAGGGGUUCUGAGAGGAAGGUCCCCCACAUUGGAACUGAGACACGGUCCAAACUCCUACGGGAGGCAGCAGUGAGGAAUAUUGGUCAAUGGACGAGAGUCUGAACCAGCCAAGUAGCGUGCAGGAUGACGGCCCUAUGGGUUGUAAACUGCUUUUAUAAGGGAAUAAAGUGAGUCUCGUGAGACUUUUUGCAUGUACCUUAUGAAUAAGGACCGGCUAAUUCCGUGCCAGCAGCCGCGGUAAUACGGAAGGUCCGGGCGUUAUCCGGAUUUAUUGGGUUUAAAGGGAGCGUAGGCCGGAGAUUAAGCGUGUUGUGAAAUGUAGAUGCUCAACAUCUGCACUGCAGCGCGAACUGGUUUCCUUGAGUACGCACAAAGUGGGCGGAAUUCGUGGUGUAGCGGUGAAAUGCUUAGAUAUCACGAAGAACUCCGAUUGCGAAGGCAGCUCACUGGAGCGCAACUGACGCUGAAGCUCGAAAGUGCGGGUAUCGAACAGGAUUAGAUACCCUGGUAGUCCGCACGGUAAACGAUGGAUGCCCGCUGUUGGUCUGAAUAGGUCAGCGGCCAAGCGAAAGCAUUAAGCAUCCCACCUGGGGAGUA